AUUCCCAAAUUUCGCGACUCACGAAGUCACGAUCGCGAGGAAACCCUAGCGGAGGCACCUCGUCCCGCGAAACCUACUCCAGCGUUCGAAGGUUUCCCCGCUCCGGCUAAGAACCCUAGCAGCGUUCCACUCGCGAAUGCAUCCCACUCACGAAGGCACGGCUUUCCCGACAUGCGUUCGCGAAGAACCCUAGCGACAUUCUUCACAGCUGCUGAUAUUUUUCUAUGGAAAGACAAGAAAGCUUCAGCUGCUGAUCUUGGUUGAGCCACAGCAAUCUGAAUCCUGUUUGAGCGAUUACCAUUUGCUUACUUUGCUGAUCAGAAAUCCAGAUGAACACUCUUCAAUUCGUACAUGUCAAACUUUUGGCCGUCGAUUUCCUCUCACUUACAAUCCACAACUCCUCGCACUCUCCUUCCUUCACCAGGAAAGGUAAACUUGUUUCGCGAGCUGAAACUGUUGGUGUGGUAGUGAGUCUGGAGCGCAAAGACAAGUAUCUCACAUUCCUGGUGGAUGAUGGUAGUGGCUGCAUUUGUUGCAUUCUUUGGCUCAACCACCAGCCUGACCACGCGCCCGACCUCGGUGUGGCGGCCGAGAUAGCUCUCAGGGAGGCCGCAACAGUUGAGUUAGGGAAACUGGUUCGAGUGAGAGGGAAGAUCACCUUGUACAGGGGGUCACUGCAGUUGACCGUGAGAGAUGUUCUAGUCGAACAAGAUCCCAACAUGGAGGUGCUGCACUGGCUGGACUGCAUCAGGUUGGCGAAAUGCUGUUAUGAUCUGCCAACUCCAGCUAUUACUUGAUGUGAUGUACCACUAUUGGCUUUCUUGUUUCGCGAUAGAAUCAUUACUCGAAAGAUUUUUGCUGUUCUACGUUCCCUAGUGCUACUUGCUAGUGAUUACUUACUGAAAAGAUCAUUUGUGCUGACUGAUAACUUAGUGGCUACUUUGCCUUCAGUGUAGUAACUUUGAUCUAUUAGUUAUGAUAAGUUUCUCUUCUCUGAA